rnacentral:rRNA from 1 species
GACGAACGCUGGCGGCGUGCCUAAUACAUGCAAGUUGAGCGAUGAAGAUUGGUGCUUGCACCAAUUUGAAGAGCAGCGAACGGGUGAGUAACUCGUGGGUAAUCUGCCUUUGAGCGUGGGACAACAUUUGGAAACGAAUGCUAAUACCGCAUAACAACUUUAAACAUAAGUUUUAAGUUUGAAAGAUGCAAUUGCUUCACUCAAAGAUGAUCCCGCGUUGUAUUAGCUAGUUGGUGAGUUAAAGGCUCACCAAGGCGAUGAUACAUAGCCGACCUGAGAGGGAGAGCGGCCAGAAGGGGAAUGAGAAAAGGGACAAAAGGAUAAGGGAGGCAGCAGAAGGGAAUCGUGGGAAAAGGAAGAAAGACUGACCGAGAAACGACGAGGGAGUGAAGAAGGUUUUAGGAUCGUAAAACUCUGUUGGUAGAGAAGAAAGUGGGUGAGAGUGGAAAGAACAUAAAGUGACGGUAACUAAAAAGAAAGGGACGGCUAACUACGUG